GUCGAACGGAUUAUUCUUUAUAGCUUGCUACAAAUAUAAUUAGUGGCAGACGGGUGAGUAAUGCAUAGGGAUCUACCUAGUAGUAUGGGAUAGCCACUAGAAAUGGUGGGUAAUACUGUAUAAUCCCCGCGGGGGAAAGAUUUAUCGCUAUUAGAUGAGCCUAUGUUAGAUUAGCUAGUUGGUGGGGUAAAGGCCUACCAAGGCGAUGAUCUAUAGCUGGUCUGAGAGGAUGAUCAGCCACACUGGAACUGAGAUACGGUCCAGACUCCUACGGGAGGCAGCAGUGGGGAAUAUUGGACAAUGGGCGCAAGCCUGAUCCAGCUAUGCCGCGUGAGUGAGGAAGGCCCUAGGGUUGUAAAACUCUUUCAGUAGGGAAGAUAAUGACGGUACCUACAGAAGAAGUCCCGGCAAACUCCGUGCCAGCAGCCGCGGUAAUACGGAGGGGGCGAGCAUUGUUCGGAAUUAUUGGGCGUAAAGGGCAUGUAGGCGGUUCGGUAAGUUAAAGGUGAAAUGCCAGGGCUUAACCCUGGAGCUGCUUUUAAUACUGCCAGACUAGAGACCGGGAGAGGAUAGCGGAAUUCCUAGUGUAGAGGUGAAAUUCGUAGAUAUUAGGAGGAACACCAGUGGCGAAGGCGGCUAUCUGGUCCGGUACUGACGCUGAGGUGCGAAAGCGUGGGGAGCAAACAGGAUUAGAUACCCUGGUAGUCCACGCUGUAAACGAUGAGUGCUGAAUGUGGGGAUGUUUUAUCUCUGUGUUGAAGCUAACGCGUUAAGCACUCCGCCUGGGGACUACGGUCGCAAGACCAAAACUCAAAGGAAUUGACGGGGACCCGCACAAGCGGUGGAGCAUGUGGUUUAAUUCGAUGCAACGCGAAAAACCUUACCACUCCUUGACAUGGAGAUUAGAUCCUUCUUAACGGAAGGG
rnacentral:rRNA from 1 species